GGGCCGCACGCGCGCUACACUGACGGAGCCAGCGAGUUGGGAUCCUUGGCCGAGAGGUCUGGGUAAUCUUGUGAAACUCCGUCGUGCUGGGGAUAGAGCAUUGCAAUUAUUGCUCUUCAACGAGGAAUUCCUAGUAAGCGCAAGUCAUCAGCUUGCGUUGAUUACGUCCC
rnacentral:rRNA from 1 species